rnacentral:rRNA from 1 species
UACGUAGGUGGCAAGCGUUGUCCGGAUUUACUGGGCGUAAAGAGCGCGCAGGCGGUCGGAUAAGUCGAAUGUGAAAGCCCCCGGCUCAACUGGGGAGGGUCAUUCGAUACUGUUCGACUCGAAGGCAGGAGAGGGAAGUGGAAUUCCCGGUGUAGUGGUGAAAUGCGUAGAUAUCGGGAGGAACACCAGUGGCGAAGGCGGGUCUCUGGACAGUUCCUGACGCUGAGGCACGAAGGCCAGGGGAGCAAACGGG